CCUGCCAGCCCCGUGAUGUUCCCUAGACAUGACACACCCAUGCCAAAGUCGGUUUUCUACGAGGUCUACGAGCCGGGAUUUAAAAGAUAAAAAAGAAAGAUGUCACCUAAUUCCAGGAUGUUCUAUUGAAUCCAGUAGACCACGGACGUGAGCGUCGCAACCUGUAACGCAUACAGAAGGACCGAUGACGUGUGUCACGUGAAACUCGUCAUCGACGUCGGGUGUGUAUCUGCGCACACAACGCACCCCGACUUGGUCGUGAUGCGUGUCCCGUGCUGCGUGGCACAUGGAGUGGCAGCUGCCAUGUGACAGUGAGGUUCUAGAGUCCUCUCUUCAUGCCCACGAUGCUCCUGGUUGUCAUCUCUGCUCCGUUCUGGGCUCUGUUCAGAACCUGUCCAGCAUCAAGCAUCCUGGGCAUCGGGGCUGGCGUCCUGUCCUAGGAAAGAACCGCCGACUUCUGGAAGGGGUGACUCUUAGGGCCUUAUUGGGUACCAGGCAAGAAGGACCCGGAGGGUGAGACCCUGCCCUGACGGGUGUCAGGCUGGGAGAGGGAUGGAGGGGCACAGGGAUGGAAGGACGAGUAUAGGCCAGCUCUCCUCUUCCUCCUGGGCCGUGGGGCCAUCAAGGACUCCACGUUCCCUUUGCUCACGGGCUCCCUCCCCACUCUCUCCUCCCCCACUUCCCCUCUCCUUCUCCCUCUCUCCCUCCACAUCUCUUUCUUCCUCUCUCUCCCUCCCCCUUUCUCUGUUUCUCUCCCCACCUCUCCCUUUCCUGCCUUUCCCCUCUCCACCUCCUCCCUGCCCCUCCUUAAGUCCCCAUGGCAAGGGAGACCCACAGGUCCCCACCGUGCUGAAACAGAGCAUAAUCCCUCUACUCUCGGUUAGGUGACAAAAGAUUCUCACUGCAUCUGUCACCUUAAAAUAACAGUGGAGAACACGAGUCCUUGUUUGGUGUCAAACAUCCACGUAGCAUUCGCCAGGAACCUUCCCCUGCUCCUAACCCUUCUGCAAACGGGGUCUCGUUUCCUCCUCCCUCCAGCCCUGAAGGAGGUGCUGGCUUCACCCCCGCUGCAGAGCUGGGCACGAAUGCCAGGCCCAGAGGGCACGAGCGUGUCCCCUGUGGUGUCCCCAAACCCCAUGCUCCCAGCCAUUCGCGGUGGCCCCCAGGAAACUGGAAGUGGUCUUGCGCUCUACUGCGAAGUGUUCAACUCUGAACUUGACGCCCAUGGGUGCCGAACCGAGCUGGGCAGAGCGGGUUGAAAUCCGGAGCCGAGCCGGAGCUCAGACGAGGCCAGAGUCCUGAGGGCUCCCUGGGGCCUCCAUCGUGACCGGAGGCGGGCGCUGAGACGGCCCCUCUCCCGUUCCACCCUGCACCUGGCUGCCCGCUUCGAGCCGCCCCGCAGGACCCCCACAUAAGCCGAGAGGAUGCGGCUCACGCCUGCUAAUGCACGCGAGCCUCCCGCUUCCGAACACCCCACGUCCACUGCUGUCCCCGCUGCGUGUCACCUGCGAACACAGACUCUGCUGCGUCCCGUCUGCCCGCAGCGUUUGCCACAGGAGGGUCGUGACAGCAGCUGGGUGACACAGAGCCUUCGGUCUGUGAAAAAAAGUCUGGAUAAUCAUUUUAACGACGUCGACAUGGCAGGGACUAGGUAAAUCGGUUUUUCAGAGCACGGAGCUGCGAUGACUAUUUACCUACAGAUCAACAGCUCGUGGUAUUUUGUACGUGACACUUUAUGCGUGUAAUGAUAUCUGACCUUCGGCGUUCGGGACUGGUUAGUCGUCACAUCCCUGGGUGUCCCCUUAUUUAUUCAUCUAUCUGUCCUCCAUUCUCACGUUUGCCUUUCCCCUGUCCUGGUGUCCCCCUCGCCCCUCGCAGCCCACCAGGAACGGCUACACGCGGCUCUUAAAAUCCUAGGCGCCCUGCUUUGCAGAAAUUCUGACCUACUCCAUCCUUUGCCAAGCCCAGGUGGAGGUAAGGAUUUCUGAAUUUCGUAAAGAUGGCGUCGACGGGACAAACAGACGUUCCAAACUUGGAAGCAAGACAUUUGAGAAAGACUCCAGCUUCUGCAGAUGGACAGGGCCGGCGUCCUGUAUUCAAGUCAGACAAAAGCAACAGGACUUGGUGACUCUGCUCGUGAGCGACGAGCAGCCUGUGUGCCCGGCUCUGCAACUACCUUUGAGUGAAUUAUCAGGAAACGAAUGAAUACGGGAACAUGGUUUUUGAGUUUUAAUGUGAUAUUCAAUAACUAUCUAGGAAUAAUGAGCUAAUUCAGGACAACUGUUUUCGAAAGGCUAUUAAAAUAUAGCCUUGGUAAAUUAAA